rnacentral:rRNA from 1 species
AUUGAACGCUGGCGGCAGGCCUAACACAUGCAAGUCGAGCGAGCGGCGGACGGGUGAGUAAUGUAUGGGGACUGCCCGAUAGAGGGGGAUAACUACUGGAAACGGUGGCUAAUACCGCAUACUAUCGGAUAACCCAUAUGGGAUUAGCUAGUAGGUGGGGUAAAGGCGAAACUAGGCGACGAUCUCUCGCUGGUCUGAUAGGAUGAUCAUCCACACUGGGACUUAGACACGGCCCAGACUCCGACGGAGGCAGAAGUGGGGAAGAUUGCACAAUGGGCGCAAGCCUGAUGCAGCCAUGACGCGUGUAUGAAGAAGGCCUUAGGGUUGUAAAGUACUGUCAGAGGGGAGGCGUUACCCGCAGAAGAAGCACCGGCUAACUCCGUGCCAGCAGCCGCGGUAAUUC